rnacentral:rRNA from 1 species
CCAAAGGACCAAUCCGCUAAAGAUGGGCUCAUAUCUAUUAGCUAGUUGUGGAGUAACGGUUCACCAAGGCUGCGAUCAGUAGCCGGACUGAGAGGUUGAACGGCCACAUGGGGACUGAGAUACGGCCCAGACUCNUACGGGAGNCAGCAGUGGGAAUAUUGGGCAAUGGGCGAAAGCAUGACCCAGCAACGCCGCGUGAAGGAAGAAGUUCUUCGGAUUGUAACUUCUUUUAUGAGGGACGAAGGACGUGACGGUACCUCAUGAAUAAGCCACGGCUAACUACGUGCCAGCAGCCGCGGUAAUACGUAGGUGGCAAGCGUUAUCCGGAUUUACUGGGUGUAAAGGGCGCGUAGGCGGGGAUGCAAGUCAGAUGUGAAAUCUAUGGGCUUAACUCAUAAACUGCAUUUGAAACUGUAUCUCUUGAGUGCUGGAGAGGUAGACGGAAUUCCUUGUGUAGCGGUGAAAUGCGUAGAUAUAAGGAAGAACACCAGUGGCGAAGGCGGUCUACUGGACAGUAACUGACGCUGAGGCGCGAAAGCGUGGGGAGCAAACA